AAUUGGAUUUUUUGUGAUUUGUGAAACGUGAAAUGUGAUCAGUAUUGAGUGAUUGUAUUUAUAGAGUCUUUGUUCUUCUAAUUUCUGUUAGAAAUGCCAAAUGAAAUUCAACUGAAAUAUUCAGUGAGUUGGUUAUAAAUUAGAAAACGGUUAGAGUUAAUUUCGAAAGUUUCAAACCAGUUAGUGUUUCUGUUGUGCCCCGUUGAAAAAUGCAGGAUGAAUCCUUUAGUUGUUUUCUGCUAUGCAUUUUUACAUUUGGUAUGCUUAUUAAUCGUGUUGUCGUUAGAUGAAUUAUGGGAUUGGGAUUGUGUGUUAAUGAGUGUGACAAUUGUGAAACUAGGUUAGUAAUUCUCCUUCUUAGACCUGAACUGAUGAAUUUCUAUUAGCAUAUUUUUGAAAUCAUCUCAAGCUGGAACCCGUUGGAUUACUAUUCAUGCAUUUGUAUGUUGGUGUGUUGCAGGGAAUGAUAUAGGCUGAAAGGAUAUUGAUGAGCCCAUUCAGAUAUUCGUUUCGUUGCAUCUCAGUGUUUACUGUUGCAAUGUGGGAAAGUUCUCAACACCAAAUCCGAAGAUGGACUGCCUCUGAACUGAACUCAGGUGGAUAAUUCUCUUUAUUGCAUACUCCCUCUAUGAUAUUUUACUUCAUACCCCUACACUUAGACUAAUACCCCUAUAAUUUUUUAAAAAUACCAAUUUUACCCUUAAUUGUUUUUAACCAAUUUACCAUUUCAUUUAUAACCAUUCAAUCGAUACUUCCGAAAAUUACACUUUCCACCUUCGUACCAGAACUCCUUGAAAAAGACAUCCGACAUGUAUUUUUUCCAAAUCGGAAGACUUUGUAAAAAACAUCUGGAACACUGCAAAUAGUAUACCAGAAGAGUUAUCUAA
rnacentral:lncRNA from 1 species